rnacentral:tRNA from 2 species
AUUUAAAUAGUUUAAUUAAAAAUUUUGAUUUGUGGAGUCAAGGAUAUAAAUAUGUUAUUUUAAAUA